rnacentral:rRNA from 1 species
GACGAACGCUGGCGGCGUGCUUAACACAUGCAAGUCGAACGGAAAGGCCCUGCUUUUGUGGGGUGCUCGAGUGGCGAACGGGUGAGUAACACGUGAGUAACCUGCCCUUGACUUUGGGAUAACUUCAGGAAACUGGGGCUAAUACCGGAUAGGAGCUCCUGCUGCAUGGUGGGGGUUGGAAAGUUUCGGCGGUUGGGGAUGGACUCGCGGCUUAUCAGCUUGUUGGUUGGGUAGUGGCUUACCAAGGUUUUGACGGGUAGCCGGCCUGAGAGGGUGACCGGCCACAUUGGGACUGAGAGACGGCCCAGACUGCUACGGGAGGCAGCAGUGGGGAAUAUUGCACAAUGGGCGGAAGCCUGAUGCAGCAACGCCGCGUGCGGGAUGACGGCCUUCGGGGUGUAAACCGCUUUCGCCUGUGACGAAGCGUGAGUGACGGUAAUGGGUAAAGAAGCACCGGCUAACUACGUG